CAUCAGAGAUGGUGCCCCCCUUGUGGUCGGUAUACAGGUGGUGCAUGGCUGUCGUCAGCUCGUGUCGUGAGAUGUUGGGUUAAGUCCCGCAACGAGCGCAACCCUUGUUCUGUGUUGCCAGCAUGCCCUUCGGGGUGAUGGGGACUCACAGGAGACUGCCGGGGUCAACUCGGAGGAAGGUGGGGACGACGUCAAGUCAUCAUGCCCCUUAUGUCUUGGGCUGCACACGUGCUACAAUGGCCGGUACAAUGAGCU
rnacentral:rRNA from 1 species